GGCUGGCUACUUUGACCACUUGCUUGGUCCGGCCAGCCUUGUUAUCAGAAACCAGCUUUUCACGAUCUGAUCAGUGUUUCUUGUUUAGCAGCAUGGCGGGAGAAAAUAAAAGAUGCUGGCGGGACUGCUAUUUCAAUACUGACGAGACUCGGCUACGACUCGCGUCAAAGAUUCAUGACUACGUCAUCUACACAACAACGACUUCGUUACUGACCCACGACAAUGAACUACGACUGCGACAUAAGCAAGGACCCAUCUACAGCCACGACAGCCGGGGCCAAGUCAUCUCAGCAAUAUGAAGACUGAGGUCAUAGGUCACAAGUCACAGUUCAGAGGCCAUACGUCACAAGUCACAGUUCAGAGGCCAUAGGUCACAAGUCACGGUUGAAAACCCCCUGACAUGCAUGACUUUCAUUUCUUCAUAUAUUACUUCAUUUUUCGGAAUAUAAAGGACAAUACAUGAUUCAUCAUGUAUAUCCGAAAAAAGAUCCAGUAAAGCCCAACUAUAUUCUAAUUCAUUUAUUUAUUCUUUCUUUGUAUUUGUUUGCAUGUUGUUUUCCCAGAUGUACUACAAUCAUGUAGAUGGCGAAAUUCUUCAUAUAUUACUUUUAAAAAGCAUAUUCAUGUUACCAUGAUAUUAAACUAAUGACCUGUAGACUAUAGGCAUAAUCUGUAUCAGUGUACUAGUAUUUAUCAUUGUAUUCAUGGUUCCUGCAAGUGUCUCAUGCUUUGAUUGUUUACAGAUGCCAAGUGGCAUAUAACCAUUCAUAAACCCGAGACAUAUUGCUAUAUGGGACAAUAUUCUUCAAUUAGUAUCACACAGAUGAAACAGUAACUGGUCCUGUCACAGAAGUAUAUGUUCUAACCGUAUCGUCAAUGUAUUAUCCCCGGAUCUGAUUGUGUUACUAAAUGACAGAAGCUCUCGUAUUAAACACUGAAAUGCUUUUGGCCUGUUCCUUUGUGCUGGGCUAAGAUAUGAUCUGUGAAAAAAAUAUAUGUGAUCUGGUCAAUCUACGUAUUCAGCGUCCUGGCUUCAUGUAAAACCACCCAUCCCCCAAACAGUGUGUUUCAUGAAUAAAUUCUUUAAUAU